GAUGAACGCUGGCGGCGUGCCUAAUACAUGCAAGUCGAGCGAACGGACGAGAAGCUUGCUUCUCUGAUGUUAGCGGCGGACGGGUGAGUAACACGUGGAUAACCUACCUAUAAGACUGGGAUAACUUCGGGAAACCGGAGCUAAUACCGGAUGAUAUUUUGAACCGCAUGGUUCAAAAGUGAAAGACGGUCUUGCUGGCACUUAUAGAUGGAUCCGCGCUGCAUUAGCUAGUUGGUAAGGUAACGGCUUACCAAGGCAACGAUGCAUAGCCGACCUGAGGGCGGGUCGGGCACCAGUGAAGGUGGACCGCGGCCCGGCGACUUAGGGACGGCGCCGUCGGGGACUCUUCGGAACGGGCGAAAGCCUGACGGAGCAACGCCGCGUGAGUGAUGAAGGUCUUCGGAUCGUAAAACUCUGUUAUUAGGGAAGAACAUAUGUGUAAGUAACUGUGCACAUCUUGACGGUACCUAAUCAGAAAGCCACGGCUAACUACGUG
rnacentral:rRNA from 1 species